rnacentral:sRNA from 1 species
UAAACGGUGUCUCAUAAAUUGGUAGCAU